rnacentral:rRNA from 1 species
CCCUUAGAUGUUCUGGGCUGCACGCGCGCUACACUGAGCCCUUCAUCGAGUUUACAACCUUGGCCGGUAGGUCUGGGUAAUCUUCUCAAAGGGGCUCGUGCUGGGGAUAGAUUAUUGUAAUUUUUAAUCUUCAACGAGGAAUUCCUAGUAAACGCAAGUCAACAGCUUGCAUUGAUUACGUCCCUGCCCUUUGUACACACCGCCCGUCGCUACUACCGAUUGAAUGGCUUAGUGAGCCCGAGGGACUGUUGCACCUAGAGGGUUUUCUCUCCAGGAGCAGCCGGGAACUCGGUCAAACUUGAUCAUUUAGAGGAAGUAAAAGUCGUAACA